AUUGAACGCUGGCGGCAGGCCUAACACAUGCAAGUCGAGCGGGGUUUUCGGACCUAGCGGCGGACGGGUGAGUAAUGCGUAGGAAGCUACCCGGUAGAGGGGGAUACCAGUUGGAAACGACUGUUAAUACCGCAUAAUGUCUACGGACCAAAGUGUGGGACCUUCGGGCCACAUGCUAUCGGAUGCGCCUACGUGGGAUUAGCUAGUUGGUGGGGUAAUGGCUCACCAAGGCGACGAUCCCUAGCUGGUUUGAAAGGAUGAUCAGCCACACUGGAACUGAGACACGGUCCAGACUCCUACGGGAGGCAGCAGUGGGGAAUAUUGGACAAUGGGCGCAAGCCUGAUCCAGCCAUGCCGCGUGUGUGAAGAAGGCCUUCGGGUUGUAAAGCACUUUCAGUAGGGAGGAAGGGUGUUGUGUUAAUAGCACAGCAUUUUGACGUUACCUACAGAAGAAGCACCGGCUAACUCUGUGCCAGCAGCCGCAGUAAAAC
rnacentral:rRNA from 1 species